UAGCUAUACAGAUGUAUUCACGGAGGAU
rnacentral:piRNA from 1 species